rfam:Sarcophilus harrisii ctg7180002261029, whole genome shotgun sequence.
GCCUGGCUAGCUCAGUAGGUAGAGCAUGGGACUCUUAAUCCCAGGGUCGGGGGUUCCCCACAUUGGGCG